UACGUAGGGUGCAGGCGUUAAUCGGAAUUACUGGGCGUAAAGCGUGCGCAGGCGGUCUGCUAAGAGGGAUGUGAAAUCCCCGGGCUUAACCUGGGAACUGCGUUUCUAACUGGCAGGCUUGAGUGUGGCAGAGGGGGGUGGAAUUCCACGUGUAGCAGUGAAAUGCGUAGAGAUGUGGAGGAACACCGAUGGCGAAGGCAGCCCCCUGGGCUAACACUGACGCUCAUGCACGAAAGCGUGGGGAGCAAACAGG
rnacentral:rRNA from 1 species